UACUUUUCUAUUGCUGGGAUAAAACACCAUGACCAAAGCAAGUUAUAGAAGGGUUUAUCUGGGCUUAUGACUCCUGGGCUGGAGUCUAUAGCCAUGGAUUGAAGACAAGGCAGCAGGCAGUCAGAGCAACUGAGAGCUCACAUCCUAAUCUAUAAGCCUUAGGCAGAGAGUAUACUGGAAAUGGUGGGAGGCUUUGACACAUCAAGACCACACCUUCUAACCCUUCCCAACCAGUUCCACCAACUGAGGACCAAGCAGUCAAACACACAAACCAUGAGGGUUAUCCUCAUUCAAGCCACCACAGUUGGUUUUCAUCCUAUUAUGGUCAACUACAUGGGUGCAAAUGGGAGACUGGAGAAAUGGCAACUUACAGGUGGGGAUGCCAGCAGCCCUGAACUGCCCAUAGCUCUGCAGAAAGGGGUGGAGCUUUAUGAAGCUUUCCCGCAUCCAUAACGGAAUCUUGAUGAACCCAAUUUCGUGCUUGUAACAUGACAGUUGGGUUCAAAAGAGAGCUUCCUGUAGUAUGUCUUUCUGUUAGCUCUAACCUUUCAUACACUCCCACAAUAUUUCUGCCCUUGAAGGGGGGGUUAUAGAUGACCAUUUAGGGCAGAGCUCUCAAAGCCUCCUCUCCUCAGGACUGGGAUUGGUCAUAAAUUAAUAAUUGUCCACUGCAAACAAAUCUCUUUCAUCAAGGUUAGGAGUAACACGAAUCAGGGAAACAUAUUUAGAAGGCAGUUUGAUAUCAUGACCAUAUAACAACGGUAAAGUGAUCUCUCCAGAAAGAUUCUAGCCAGUUUUCUAGUACCAGGCUCUUAUGAAACAGGCCUCAAAUAUAGUAGGGGGAGAAUGGUUUGCUAGCCACACAUCAGUCAUGCCUCAGUGGGUACACCUUACCUAGCAGGUUGCUACUGUAGCCCAUAGGGUUCACAGCUAGAUGAGACCAUGGGUGACUCUUCCUCCCUAACAGCCAGCCUGUGUAGCAUUAUGAAAGCUAAUCGGCAAGGAGGAUACCUAUUGCCCAGCUCCAGCUUGCUCUCCCUAUGUCCUACAAUCAAAGUGUGUGGUGUCUUUAGUACUAGGAAUUUAUCUUCUAGCCCAAGUGGGUAACCAUGAGCAAUGGAAACAGCUUGUGUUGUUUGUGAGGGUAGGGGUUGUUUCUGGGACCUCCUUGACCAGUAAGGAGGCGUCCUAUAUACCACAUUGAAACUUGUUUAAUAACCUAGGGCUUUUGGAAGUAUUGUCUUUCCAUGUGGAGCACUUCCUUUCAAACUUCCUUACGUAUUUUUUUUUCAAUAUCUAACAAAGCAAUAGGACUCAAUAUGGCUUUUUCGGACCUUAGUUUGGGUAACCUUUCCCCACCCCAACCUUUCUAUUUAAACCCUUCCCCUUCCCGCAUUCCCUCCCUCUACGUUGAUGUCACGUGUGUGGUAUUAUGUCCCUACCCUAAGGCCUCUUCAUACCCCAGGCUGGUCUUGAACUCACUAUGUAGCCAAGGAUAACCUUGAACCUAUGAUCUUCCUGCCUCUCCCUCCCUAUAUCUAGUGUUAUAGCAGAGGUUCUCAACCUGUGGCUCUCAAUCUCUUUGUGGCUGAAUGACCACUUCACAGGGGUCAUCGAAGACCAUCAGAAAACACUGACGUUUACAUUACUAUUCAUAACAGUAGCAAAAUUACAGUCACAAAGUCGCAACAAAAUGGUUUUAUGGUUGGGACUGUAUUAAAGGGUCACAGCAUUAGGAAGGUUGAAACCACUGUGUUAGAGGCUUGCGCCACCAUACACGUGGUGCUGGGAAUCAGGUUUAGGGCUUUGUGCAUUCCAGACAAACUGUCAAUUGAGCUAUGUCUCCAGCUCCUGCUUUCAUUUGAAUUACCUUACCCACAUGUAGUUAUCCCUGUUCUCUAUAUCAUGAAUUUAAAACAAAUGUUUCUUGAGAUAGGGUCUUCCUUUGUAACCUUAGUUAGCCUCAAUUUCUGUUAACCUACCCAUCAUCGCCUCCUGCGUACUGAGACUAAAGACGUGCACUACGACGCCAACCUUGGAUGAUUUUAUUGUCGUUAUGUGAUAAAUAAUACAGCAUGACAACUGUUUACGUGCAUUUCAUGGUAUUAGGCAUUUAAAAUUAGAGGUGAUUUCAAGCUGGUGGUGACCCACCACACCCUGUCCUUCGGUCACCUUAAGGAAGUAGUCUCAACUGUCAGGAGGCUAAGGAAGAAGGCUGAAGGGAUUAAGGCUGACCUGGAGUACACAGUCUCAAAAUAAAGUCCUGGGCUCCAUCCCUGGCAGGUCACUAAAUAAGUACAUGCACAAGAGAAUGUGCACAGACUGUAUGGAGGUCCAUCCUUUGUAAGAGCAUCUGCCCAUCCUGGUACCUGAAAAAUGUCUCAGGAAAAUCUCCCCUGGGCACAGCUGAUGACUGCAUUAUGUUUUUUCUUUCUUUUCUUCUUUUCUGAGUGUAUGUGUAUGUAUGGGGGGAGGGGGUGUCUUUCUCUGUUGCCCAAGCUGGACUGGAACCCAUAAACAGCACAAGCUGGCUCAGAACUUACAGCAAUCCUUCUGCCUCAGUCUCUCCACUGUUGGCGCUGGAAUUAUAGGCCUGCCCCCUACAAUGCCUAGUUUUAUAUUGGGCUGUUUUUAUAAUUAAAGAUAACAAGGACAAUCAAGAUUCCCCCAAAAUAUAGCCUCUGUGAUUACUAAGCAAGAACUAGGCAUAGAAGCCUCUUUUUGAAGACUAUUAGUAUAUGUCUACAAGUCAGAGACUAUGACACUUCCUGGGAAUUGGACCAGGAUCUCUCAGGAAGAAUAGCCAGUGCCCCUAACCACUGAGCCAUCUCCCCAGCCACUGUCUUACCUCCAUGAGUGAAGUCUUAAUCCCAGUACCAACAAACAGCAGACCGAAACAAAAGGGUGGGGAUUUUCUGAAAGCAGCCUGAACUACCCAGGAAAACCCCAAGAAAAAUAAACAAAUAGGAGAAGAUGGAUAAGUGGUAGAACACUGGCUUGGUCCGUGUGAACCUGGGUUCACCUCCCAGUGUAAUAGAAGGAAUUGCCUAGCCCGACUUUUCAGUAAUGUAUUGCAUUUCUUUUCUUUCUCCUUUUCUUGAUAAAAAUGCAGCCCUUAAAGCUCUGCUCAAAAUACUGCUCGGGAUUACAUCAUUAUGGUUUCAAUGAGCCAAAAAUUCUACUUCCCUCUAUUACCCAGAAUAAUAACUCUUAAGAGCUAAGAACUUCAAAGCACUUCACGAGCAUUUAAUUAGUCCUCUCUGGUGCCAAAGAGAAGGACAUAGAUAUUCACAGAACUUCAUCUGACAUCGUUCAAUUUGGCGAGACUUCUGCUGGCUUCGAAAAGCCGUGUCUGUCCCACGAAGGUUAUUUGGGCCACUUGCAUCAGUCGCCCUUACCUAAUGAAACCUGGUAAUCCAAGCGGUUCGAAUUGCCAUCUCCUUGGACUCUGGUAGGGCAAGGGAGCCGCUGAAAGCCCGGAAGAGAAAGGGCAGCGAUUCCUCUGAGAGCAGGAAAACAAAGCGCAUCUGUGGGGAACCUGUGAGAUGGGGCGCGUGAUUGAGGCCGGAGCGAUUGCAUCAGCGUCUGAUUGACUCCCUGGAACUGGGGCAGGAUGGUAACCAGGCUCUUCUCAGAACUCAGCUCUCCUGAGGCCCUGAGCACUGGCAGCCGGGCUCCACUGUGCUCAUAGCUUACCUCCAGUGCGUGGGAAGCUCCUGGGCACCCUUUUCUCUCUAUUCAGACUAGCUUCCUGCGGAAGGUCUAACGAAAAUAGAGCAGCCAGUCCGGGAGACCCAGUCCAGAGGUGACUGCCUUCUCAUAGCUUCCCCACCCCCGUCAAAAGCUAGUCCAGUUCUUAACAUUCCCACCAAGUGAUCUGUUACACAAUAGCAGGAAUGGCAUCAAACCUUACUUUUUUUUAGACUAAUAUCUUGAUUUGUAGUACAGGCUGGUCUUGAACUCCCUGUAGAGUUCAGGCUGACCUUGAUCUCUUGGCAAUCCUCCUUCCUGCCUCAACCUCAAGUUCUGGAAUUACAGGCUUGUGUCACUAAGCCCAACUUCAGAUUUUUUUUAGGUAUAUGUAAGCAUUAGUAUAUGUAAGCGUUUUGUCCACAUAUAUGUAUGUGUGUGCUUGGUGCAAUUAAAGGUCAGAAGAGGGUAUUAGAUCCCAUGGACUGGAGUCAUAGUACUUGGAACCACCAUGUUAUGGUGGGAAUAGAACUCAGGUCCUCUGCAAGAGUAACAAAUGCUCUUAACUGCUCUACUCCCCAUCUUCAGAUCUUAUUUUCAAUUUUGAUGCAAAAAGAUUAAGAAAUGCUUAUUGAGUGUUUAUUUGGGGGAGUCCUGGAUCUGGUAAGGGUCCAUGCCACAAGUGGCUUCAUUGUCAGAAAAUCACUACACUGCAAACCCACUGGUGGAGGCUCCAACCAUUGGCCACAGAGAGGCGCUACAGAGCAGAAAGGGCAAGUUCAUCAGGUGCUGUUCCGGGAGAAGGAAGGAAUCAUCCAUUGAUGUUUCUGCUUUGUUUUCCAGUGUGAAAGAUCAAACCCAAGGCCUUGUGCAUGUUAGACAAGCGUUCUACCACGGAACUCCAUGUCCAAUUUUGAUCUUUUUUUUUCAAUCAUUGUCAGAAUAUUCUGCAGAACCACCGACCAUCUAUAUCGUUCCUCAUGUCACGAUUCUCACUUCACAGUUCUGUUCCAAAUUAAAAUGCCUGAUCGUAGGAGUUAGCAGGAACCCUGGUAGGCUCUGUACAACCCACUAGCCAAGACCAGUUUUUACGUUUUUAAGCGAUGAAGAAAAAAUAAUCGCGACACAUGAAAACUACCUGAAGGUACAAUUUUUAGUGUUCAGUAGUAGAUUUUUAUUGUGAUGUGGCCGCACCCAUUCAUUUACAUACUGUCCACUCUGACCAUUGCUACAAUUGUAUACUGGCUUCCUGGACCACGCUGCUUGCCUUAGCUAAAUAUUUACUCUCUUGCUCUUUAUAGAAAGCUUGGCGACCUCUGUUACAGAGUAAACACAUUGAUACAAGGCUUUGAAAGUCUUACAGUCUUAUCGUCUGUCACAAAGGAAUAGUAAACCAGAAGAGAUAAUUUUAAAACCAAAGCACAAGUAAGUAGUGACUAGAAAAGAUAAGUUUAAAAGGCACGUAAACCAUAGGUGCAUCCUCUGGCGAGGCCUCUAGAGGCACUGCUGAGCACAUUGGCUAGGUAAACGUUAUGCGGGCUGAUGGCGAGCGAGCUCAGCAAUAGAGUGGUUCAUGGGAACAAGGUUAAGGGCUUUACACACUAGGUGCUGUCCUAGCCUCCAGACGAUUGACUGACACAGCUUGCUCAAAGUCACACCUGUAGAAAAAGACGCCUUCAGGAUAUUUACCAGGUUUUGGAAUUUCAAGGCUAUGGCAACUUAAACAUUAACCCACGGAUAACUUGACACCCUGGGUAGUACCAAGCCAAAAAGCCCAUUCUGUAAUCUGUUCUCAGAAGAACAGGGCCUAGGCCAGGGAGUGAGCAUACACAGAGUCCUGCUGUCCUGUGGUCCGUCUGUGCAAGCUAAGCAGGAAAGAUAUGGUGCCAUCUAGGGGUGCACAAACAGGUUUAAUUUCUCCUCCAAUUAAAGACCUAAAUCUUGGAGAGUCCUGGCAGAGCCAUCAUAUGAUACUGGGAAAAUCACCUCUUAGGGUUCUCAGUCUCGUGUUUUUUUUUUUUUUUUGUUUGUUUGUUUUUUUUUUAAUAGAUUCAAAUAGAAGAGGAUAGUUUAUUAGAGUUUAGAAGAAAAACCUCAAGGCAGGCAAGUGGUCAAUCUCACAGUUGCAAGGAAGAAGAGAGAGGAGAUGCUAAGUCAGCUCGGAGAGUCACUACAUGGCUGCAGGCAGCCACACAGCCAGGAAGGGAGCUCAGGAGAAAAAGAAAGGCUGUCCACAGAUAUACCUCCUUCUUAACGUGCUGAUGCACCACAGGCUCAACACUCAACCUGUCUCAGAGGGGAGCCUCCAAAGGGCUUUAAAAAACAUGUAGGUUCCCACCAGCACCAAAAACAAAAACAAGAAGGAAUAGUCAUGCCCUUCUGAAAUAGUACUCAGGAAGGCAGGCCAACCCAGCUGAACAUCAUAGAGAAGGAGAAGACCUGGGUAUCUGGGUAUGUUAACCAAGCAGUAGCGGUUACAUGCACGAGUGUGCGCAUGUGCGCGCGCACACACACACACACAUAAAAACAGACAUGUGAGGGGAGUCACUGGGGAUCCCACCUCUGGUAAAGUGCUUGUGUCGAUUUUGCAAGGACAUGGCUCCAAUCUCAAGUGCGGCAGAACAGAUCCUCAACUAACAGAAAACAUCAGCAGAAACACACUCUCGCUCUGAGGACAGAUGUCCAUGAGGCCUCAAGUAAAAGAGAGGCUCCAACCGCCUUGUUUCAGAUGCUUCUCAAGGAUACUUGUGCGGUGAGCAGCCUUUGAAGGCAGAGAUGGUGCCUCCGUCAGCACAGGGAGUGGGGAUGCUUAAGCUUCAGAAGAGAGAAAAUGCACCUCACUGACCAGCAAGGGGAAGGACCUGAGGCCCCUACACCAGGAUGCCUCUACUGUAGGGUCACAGGCUGCAAAUGUGACUGUCGCUUGGCCCUGGGCUUGGAGAACUGAUGGGAGAAAAUGUUCUGGCAAGGGAAGCUUUAUUUUAAUAAAACUCUACUUCUGUUCAGGGGUUUCAUGUCUUCCAGACCUCCAUGAAUCUACAGAGCAGCCAGCUAGCCUGCAGGUGAGGUCAUAUGGCGAACCUUUUCUACUUCCCAACAAGUUCCGGUAACAUACUUUCGCGUGCGCACGCACACUGCCAGCACCCGGGCCAGCAGCCCUGCAGCCCACGUGACCAGACAGUGGCACUGCAUCAGCAUCGCGUGUCUAAGCUCUGCAGUACAAUGAUCUCAUCGAUGCCUCCUCGUCUCCAGAGGAGGGAAGACAGUCUGGGGCCUCACCCUGCCCUUUGUGCCCCCUCGUUGGUUCAUAUUGCUGCCCACUCUGUGGUGCCCCGGUGUUUGUGAGUUCUCUUCCGCAACCCUGGCAGAGUAGUAAGGGAGUUUCUGUUCUCAUGGGACAGAAUGUAAUAACUAUGCCUACUUAGUUGUAUGGUAAAGCAAUUUCAAACACUAAAAAUAAAAUGUAAUUCAUUAUAAUGUCAAAAA